rnacentral:rRNA from 1 species
CUCGUCACACUAUCAUUAACUGAAUCCAUAGGUUAAUGAGGCGAACCGGGGGAACUGAAACAUCUAAGUACCCCGAGGAAAAGAAAUCAACCGAGAUUCCCCCAGUAGCGGCGAGCGAACGGGGAGGAGCCCAGAGCCUGAAUCAGCAUGUGUGUUAGUGGAAGCGUCUGGAAAGGCGCGCGAUACAGGGUGACAGCCCCGUACACAAAAGCGCAUGUGCUGUGAGCUCGAUGAGUAGGGCGGGACACGUGGUAUCCUGUCUGAAUAUGGGGGGACCAUCCUCCAAGGCUAAAUACUCCUGACUGACCGAUAGUGAACCAGUACCGUGAGGGAAAGGCGAAAAGAACCCCGGCGAGGGGAGUGAAAAAGAACCUGAAACCGUGUACGUACAAGCAGUGGGAGCCCCACCACCAAAGCAUUUGCUGUACCGCGUUGACGGAGCGAAGCGACGUCAAACCGAUAAAACAGCAGUGUAAAGUGAGCCGCAGGGCGCUUUGCGCGACAGCGCAAAGGCAGGCGGUUUCGCGUAGCGAAAGCGAAUGCUUUGGGGUGGGGUGACUGCGUACCUUUUGUAUAAUGGGUCAGCGACUUAUAUUCUGUAGCAAGGUUAACCGAAUAGGGGAGCCGGAGGGAAACCGAGUCUUAAUUGGGCGUUAAGUUGCAGGGUAUAGACCCGAAACCCGGUGAUCUAGCCAUGGGCAGGUUGAAGGUUGGGUAACACUAACUGGAGGACCGAACCGACUAAUGUUGAAAAAUUAGCGGAUGACCUGUGGCUGGGGGUGAAAGGCCAAUCAAACCGGGAGAUAGCUGGUUCUCCCCGAAAGCUAUUUAGGUAGCGCCUCGUGAAUUCAUCUCCGGGGGUAGAGCACUGUUUCGGCUAGGGGGCCAUCCCGGCUUACCAACCCGAUGCAAACUGCGAAUACCGGAGAAUGUUAUCACGGGAGACACACGGCGGGUGCUAACGUCCGUCGUGAAGAGGGAAACAACCCAGACCGCCAGCUAAGGUCCCAAAGUCAUGGUUAAGUGGGAAACGAUGUGGGAAGGCCCAGACAGCCAGGAUGUUGGCUUAGAAGCAGCCAUCAUUUAAAGAAAGCGUAAUAGCUCACUGGUCGAGUCGGCCUGCGCGGAAGAUGUAACGGGGCUAAACCAUGCACCGAAGCUGCGGCAGCGACACUGUGUGUUGUUGGGUAGGGGAGCGUUCUGUAAGCCUGUGAAGGUGUGUCGUGAGGCAUGCUGGAGGUAUCAGAAGUGCGAAUGCUGACAUAAGUAACGAUAAAGCGGGUGAAAAGCCCGCUCGCCGGAAGACCAAGGGUUCCUGUCCAACGUUAAUCGGGGCAGGGUGAGUCGACCCCUAAGGCGAGGCCGAAAGGCGUAGUCGAUGGGAAACGGGUUAAUAUUCCCGUACUUGGUGUUACUGCGAAGGGGGGACGGAGAAGGCUAUGUUGGCCGGGCGACGGUUGUCCCGGUUUAAGCGUGUAGGUGUGUGUUCCAGGUAAAUCCGGUUCACUUUAACACUGAGGCGUGACGACGAGGCACUACGGUGCUGAAGCAACAAAUGCCCUGCUUCCAGGAAAAGCCUCUAAGCAUCAGGUAACAUCAAAUCGUACCCCAAACCGACACAGGUGGUCAGGUAGAGAAUACCAAGGCGCUUGAGAGAACUCGGGUGAAGGAACUAGGCAAAAUGGUGCCGUAACUUCGGGAGAAGGCACGCUGACACGUAGGUGAAGUGAUUUACUCAUGGAGCUGAAGUCAGUCGAAGAUACCAGCUGGCUGCAACUGUUUAUUAAAAACACAGCACUGUGCAAACACGAAAGUGGACGUAUACGGUGUGACGCCUGCCCGGUGCCGGAAGGUUAAUUGAUGGGGUCAGCGCAAGCGAAGCUCCUGAUCGAAGCCCCGGUAAACGGCGGCCGUAACUAUAACGGUCCUAAGGUAGCGAAAUUCCUUGUCGGGUAAGUUCCGACCUGCACGAAUGGCGUAAUGAUGGCCAGGCUGUCUCCACCCGAGACUCAGUGAAAUUGAACUCGCUGUGAAGAUGCAGUGUACCCGCGGCAAGACGGAAAGACCCCGUGAACCUUUACUAUAGCUUGACACUGAACAUUGAGCCUUGAUGUGUAGGAUAGGUGGGAGGCUUUGAAGUGUGGACGCCAGUCUGCAUGGAGCCGACCUUGAAAUACCACCCUUUAAUGUUUGAUGUUCUAACGUGGACCCGUUACCCGGGUUGCGGACAGUGUCUGGUGGGUAGUUUGACUGGGGCGGUCUCCUCCUAAAGAGUAACGGAGGAGCACGAAGGUUGGCUAAUCCUGGUCGGACAUCAGGAGGUUAGUGCAAUGGCAUAAGCCAGCUUGACUGCGAGCGUGACGGCGCGAGCAGGUGCGAAAGCAGGUCAUAGUGAUCCGGUGGUUCUGAAUGGAAGGGCCAUCGCUCAACGGAUAAAAGGUACUCCGGGGAUAACAGGCUGAUACCGCCCAAGAGUUCAUAUCGACGGCGGUGUUUGGCACCUCGAUGUCGGCUCAUCACAUCCUGGGGCUGAAGUAGGUCCCAAGGGUAUGGCUGUUCGCCAUUUAAAGUGGUACGCGAGCUGGGUUUAGAACGUCGUGAGACAGUUCGGUCCCUAUCUGCCGUGGGCGCUGGAGAACUGAGGGGGGCUGCUCCUAGUACGAGAGGACCGGAGUGGACGCAUCACUGGUGUUCGGGUUGUCAUGCCAAUGGCACUGCCCGGUAGCUAAAUGCGGAAGAGAUAAGUGCUGAAAGCAUCUAAGCACGAAACUUGCCCCGAGAUGAGUUCUCCCUGAGACUUAAAGUCUCCUGAAGGAACGUUGAAGACGACGACGUUGAUAGGCCGGGUGUGUAAGCGCAGCGAUGCGUUGAGCUAACCGGUACUAAUGAACCGUGAGGCUUAACCUUACAACGCCGAAG